GGCAUGGUGGCUCAGUGGUUAGAGCGCCCGCCUCAUGAACGGGUGGUCGUGGUUCGAACCCCGGCCGAGUCA
rnacentral:tRNA from 1 species